GAUGAACGCUGGCGGCGUGCCUAAUACAUGCAAGUCGAGCGAACAGACGAGGAGCUUGCUCCUCUGACGUUAGCGGCGGACGGGUGAGUAACACGUGGAUAACCUACCUAUAAGACUGGGAUAACUUCGGGAAACCGGAGCUAAUACCGGAUAAUAUAUUGAACCGCAUGGUUCAAUAGUGAAAGACGGUUUUGCUGUCACUUAUAGAUGGAUCCGCGCCGCAUUAGCUAGUUGGUAAGGUAACGGCUUACCAAGGCAACGAUGCGUAGCCGACCUGAGAGGGUGAUCGGCCACACUGGAACUGAGACACGGUCCAGACUCCUACGGGAGGCAGCAGUAGGGAAUCUUCCGCAAUGGGCGAAAGCCUGACGGAGCAACGCCGCGUGAGUGAUGAAGGUCUUCGGAUCGUAAAACGCUGUUAUUAGGGAAGAACAAAUGUGUAAGUAACUAUGCACGUCUUGACGGUACCUAAUCAGAAAGCACGGCUAACUACGUG
rnacentral:rRNA from 1 species